UCAGAGUCGUCAGUUUGGACUCAGGGCCUUUUCACCCUGUUUCGGUACAUCAGGGGAGAGGUCGAAAACCCUGGUACUCCCAGUAAUGCGACGUAGCGCUUCUCUAAGUUUCUGGCUUCUCCCUCCUCUGGUUAUUUUACUGAAUGAUUAUUUAACUAAAACACAGAAACUCUCCAGCAGUUUACGUUAACGGCAGACUUUUUGUUUUUACUGAAGUUUUAUUGAUUUGAUGUAAUUUCUAUCUACUGAGGCCUUUGGAGGUCCAGUAAAAACACCAUAAAAAUUUAAUCUGCCAAAAUAAGUUACUUUGUAAUUGUGUUUUCUUUUUAUAUUGUGUUAUUUUAGUUUUCAUAAAAUAGAAUUUUUGGCCAUAAUUUAAUAUUUUCAUCUGUUUAAUUACAAGUUAAAUCAGAUUCAGUGACCAAACGGUAACUUAAUUCCCCCUUCCUACCAAAUACCUUUUACUCUUACGAUAGCUGGAUUUACUUUCAAGGAUUUAGUAUUCAUUUACUCUGGUGAUGACAUUUCAAACAUUAAGCUCUAGCUGUAACACGCCGAGGUAUCAGAGUCCCGUCACUGACCCCCAUGGUGCCGCAGUGCUGAAAGCUCCUCAGAUCACGUUGACUCUGUAAAGUUCAGAGUUUUUUCCAGACUUCACGCUGAACUCAACUGUGUUUAACCAGACGAGUUUUAAAUGUAACAUUUGACCUGGUUGUGUUAUUGGAAGACACUACUAGCAAUACUUAACCACCAACUAAACAACUCCAGUAUUAAUGGACCAGCUUUUCUUGUCUUUUUCUACUUCCUCUCCUUUUGUUUAGUAAUGGCUGCAGCUUGGUGCAGGAUCUUGAUGUUCUGGUUCAAAUGGCUCAAUAAGCCAACUAUAAACCUAGUGCAGCCAGUCUUUGCUGUCAUUGUCACUGCUUUAUAAAAAAUACUAUUUAAAAUAAACAAACACUCAGCCUGGCGGGGGACAAGUAAAGCCUGGUGGCCCGCCAGGCUUAUAAUACACUGAGGGAAACUUUGUUGUUAAUUAUUAAACAUUUCAAUUACUGAUAUUAUUCACCUAGCAUCUCUGUAGCCUACAGCAUCAACACAUCAGCAUAAAUCAAGUAUCAACCCAUUAAAACUGUAAGUUGUUUAAUGAAAUGGUCUCAUAAAAGUUUUGUAUUUGUUCAUAUUAAUCUUAUUUCAGCUGCUGACCUGGUUGCUGAAGCGCCUUCAUGUAAACGGUUUAUGGCUGCAGACUGAACAGGUGUGCAAAUGUUUUCAUGACUCUUCCUGAAACUCAAACUUAAACACAAUAUUGUUUGCGCUCUUGGCUCGCCUGGACCCUGCAAACAUAAACAUGACAUGGGAGGCCGUGACUGCGUCCUGUCAGGCCUGAUAAAGAUAGAAGUCCAGACAUGGGAAUGUGUGUUUGACAGCCUGCUGCAGGGUCACAUCGCGCCCCGAGAGGCUUGACAUUUAACUCGUGUUGUCACCCAGCAGUCUCACAUACAGACACACAUUUUUACUUCUAUCUUUAUGAGAACAUCCAUCAAGCAGCGCUCUCGGUGCCAAGGCGGCGCAGCAGCUCUGCUACGAUGGAUGGAUGCCACAAGGUGGAUGGGAGUCUGGUUCUGCAGAGACCUCAGCCAAGACUGGAGAGGCAGAGAGGAGCGGUUCGAUCAACAAACAACUGGCAGAUGAAGAUGAAGAUGAGGGAGUUCUUUGGCUUUUGGUUUGGUUUUAUUUUAACCAUGAGGAGAAGGUAGGACCUUGGCAGAAGCGCUUGUGAAGGAAUGUGUAAACCUUCAUGACAACAGUCAAACAGUUGAAGGCUCUUCAUGUUUAUGACUGUCAUGCUCACACCUUCAAAUAAAGUGAUACUGACAAAUGAAAGAUAAAACUCAGACAGUGGAUCAUAAGCGCAAUAAACCUGGACUGUGAGGAGUUGCUGAGUUGCUCGUGGAUCAUGUGAUCAGAAAGUCCUUGGAGGCGAUGCAGAGCAGCAACAUCUGGACUCGGCUCCUCCCACUCGUCUUCUCUCACCUCUGCAGAGAGAAGAGGUCAUCCUGAAGGCAACGGAGUCGUUCUUAGAAAGCUUUUGCUGACGGACAUGUUCUCACAUUUCAAGGCCCAAACGAUGUUUGGAUGUUAAAUAACUUAUCAAUAAUGUGCUGCCUUAGUGAAGCUAAUUGGUAGAAGAGCCUAUUAAAACUCUCUCCACCUUAUUUCUCCUAUAGUAAUAAAUUUACUGCAGCAGCUACAGCAGGGCAGUUUGUUUUGUUUUCAGCUGUAACUUUUAUCUGAUGAAACUUAACUUGAGGUUUCAGCUGAUGAGUCCAAAGGAAGCCAGGAUUAUUUUUUUGUUUUUAUUUAUUUCUGUGUGUUUGGUGAGAUGUCUGGAAGGUUCAUACCAAACCCAUUGCUGAUGUUCAGGAAAAGGAGGAUGAACAGGAGCUGGCAGCUCUUCCACCUCGCCAUCCUUCCUGCCAAACACAGAGACAUUUUCCAGCAAGUAGGAAGGAAUAAAAUUCUCAUGUCAAUAUUAAUUUAAAAUUGAUCAUGGAUUUGAUUGGAGGUGCCUUUUGCAAAACAUUCACCGAGGUCUGUGCAUUGAUGAUGUGUCAGAUGUUCUUCAAAGGUAUCUGUCCUACAUAACCCCAAGCUGGCACCCAAACCCACUGCAGCGCUGAAACUCUUGGAUCACUGCUGCAGAAAACCACUGAAGACAUUUCUCAACCCACAGAGUUUUUGCAGUCAUAGAUGUAGGUGUGCAUAAGGCAGUAAAAUCUGCAGAAAUCAAUGUCAUCUUGAAAUCCAAAAUAGGGAACUACAGUAAGUAAAUAAUUUUGAAGAAAUAUUUUUAUUUUUAUUUCACCUGUAGUCAGUCGUUCUGUUUCUUUCUCAGUCUUUCAGGUGUGUUGUCAUAUUGCUCCAGUCAGUGGAAAGGCUUCGUGAAAUAUUCAAAAAUCAUUGCAGGUCCAAAUGAACAUCAUCAGAUAUGCUGAUGUUCAUCAUGUUGAUAUUAAAAGCAAACCUGCUGCUUGGUGGUAAGAACCAGUCAGUCUCUAAUGUUGACUGAAACAUUUCUGUUUAGAAACAUGUCAACGGUUUUUGUUUUCAGUUUUAUUUAUUUUUCUUUCAUUUUGUAAUCAUUUUCUCACCAGAACAAGUCAAUGUCUUAAUUUGAACAUUUAUAAUAAAGUUAGUAUAUUCUCCAUAAUGAGAUGCUAUAAAUCAGGUUUUCAAUUUUUCUGCAGAUCUGUUGAUUUUCUAGAUUUUUCUGUUGAUUGGUGAACAGUGGGAGGUUCUGCUCUCUGUUUUCUUUAAUAUGAUCACAGAAUUAUCCACACUGUCCUGUUUCUACUGCUUAUUGACUAUUUUUCACUGGAGUGUUGGAAACCCCAGAGAUCUGCUGAUGUUAUGCUGAGAUUAAGCUGAAACCCAGUCAGAUUUAAUCUGAAAUCUUUCUCAUACGUUUGACCCUCAGCUGUUAACUGUCGUUUUCUCAACUUACCGGGAUAUGAAGUCGUCUGUUUCAGAUUCAAAUGUUUCUUACUCUCCACAGACAUCCACCGAACCUCCGAAGGAUCAGAUGUUUCCUUGUAGGGUGAGAAGUUUCAGGGAAAACCAGCCUUGGAGGAGGAGGCUGCAGUGAAUCGAUCUCAUUUCAUCAUCACUGUGGAUCCGACCCCAUUGGACCAGGGCCAUCAGAAACCACCAUUUCAGACUGUUAACAUGACGUCAGGUUCUUACAAAGAGCUUCCUCUUUGCUUCAGAGGUUUCAACAAUCAUUUGAAACUAAUGAGGAGAGAUUUAACUCACUGAGAAGAAGCCUAGAGCUGCAGGGAGGUAAUUAUUUAUUAAAGAGACGAGUUAACAAAGGAGGAGUGAUGUGUUCCUGUUUCUUCCUUUGGAUUAUAGACGUGUUGCAGCAUCAAGGAGCCGCUGAUCAGAUCAGGGUCAACUCCUCCAUGUCUGGAUCAACAUCCAGGUUGUCUUCAAACUUCCUGAAGUCCGUCAAUCUGCAGACAGGAAAAUUAUUCAUUUGGGACGAUGGUGGCGACAGUACAAGGAGUUCGUCCUGGUGGGUUUCUGGUUCGAUUCCCACUCUGUCCACUUCUGUCGUAUUCUUGGGCAAGACACAUCACCUGCCUUACCUCCUGGUGGUGGUCAGACUCGCAUCUGUCAAACCAGUGACUCCUAUCCAGUAGCUUGCCACCAUCAGUGUGUGAAUGUCUGAAUGUAACGUGAAAUGCUUUGGGCUCUUCUGGGUUUGAUAAAGUUCUAUACAAGUACAGGAGAUUUCUCCAAACUGUGAUCUGAAGUAUGUCACCCUGCAGAGAGGACGAUUAUUCAUUUAAGCCAUCUGUUCACCUUGAGGAGGCCUGGCUCUCAGUGAAUAUCUCUAUGCAGAUGCUGUGAUCUGCUGAGGACCUGGAUCCAGGAUGUUCUGACAUCAGUGAGACUGGGUCAACUUUACCAGAACUCCCUGGCAGACUACCAAAACACUUUGUCCCUGCAACAGUAAUCAGAUUACUAACCAGAAUCUCCUGAAGUCCUUCCAAGAGGCAGGUCCAGCAGCACAGAAAUGGCGACUCUGAUGAAGAUCAUCACAUCUCAGUUCAGUCAACAUUUCUGCUGCAUUGUAAUGGAAUAUUGUUUGGUUUUCAUAUGGAGUCAUUUGUAUUUAUUUGUUAUACAUGUUUUUAUCUGACUAUUCAGCAUCAAUUCAGUUAAUCUGAAUCAUCUGGAUUAUAGUUAUAUAAUCUGACCAGUUUACUGGUCAGAUUAUACUGUAGCUAUGGGAACCGUCGGUUUCCACCAGAUGGCGCCACAUACAGCAGAACUGAGGACAAGAAACAGGAAACUAAGGAAAUGUUAAGAUCUGAAUAAUUGAUUAAAGCGUUUUAUGAUUUA